UAGCUUAGUUGGUAAAGAAUCUGCCUGCAGUGCAGGAGACCUGGGUUCGAUUCCUGG
rnacentral:tRNA from 1 species